rfam:Glossina austeni unplaced genomic scaffold Scaffold239, whole genome shotgun sequence.
UGGGGUAGUUUUGGUGCGUAGACGCUAUGGAUGGCGAAUCGUGCAUGCUGCUGGUACGUGCCACUAGUAUUUUUCGAAAUUUUCUACCUCCA